rnacentral:rRNA from 1 species
UUCCGGUUGAUCCUGCCGGACCUGACUGCUAUCGGAUUGAUACUAAGCCAUGCGAGUCAUUGUAGCAAUACAAGGCAGACGGCUCAGUAACGCGUAGUCAACCUACCCUAUGGACGGGGAUAACCUCGGGAAACUGAGAAUAAUACCAGAUAGAACAUUAUACCUGGAAUGGUUUAUGUUUCAAAUAAUUUAUUGCCGUAGGAUGGGACUGCGGCCUAUCAGUUUGUUGGUGAGGUAAUGGCCCACCAAGACUAUUACAGGUACGGGCUCUGAGAGGAGUAGCCCGGAGAUGGGUACUGAGACACGGACCCAGGCCCUAUGGGGCGCAGCAGGCGAGAAAACUUUGCAAUGUGCGAAAGCACGACAAGGUUAAUCCGAGUGGUUUCUGCUAAAGGAACCUUUUGCCAGUCCUAGAGACACUAGUGAAUAAGGGGUGGGCAAGUUCUGGUGUCAGCCGCCGCGGUAAAACCAGCACCUCAAGUGGUCAGGAUGAUUAUUGGGCCUAAAGCAUCCGUAGCCUGCUUUGCCAGUUUUCGGUUAAAUCCAUACGCUUAACGUAUGGGCUGCCGGAAAUACUACAAAGCUAGGGAGUGGGAGAGGUAGACGGUACUCGGUAGGAAGGGGUAAAAUCCUUUGAUCUAUUGAUGACCACCUGUGGCGAAGGCGGUCUACCAGAACACGUCCGACGGUGAGGGAUGAAAGCUGGGGGAGCAAACCGGAUUAGAUACCCGGGUAGUCCCAGCUGUAAACUAUGCAAACUCGGUGAUGCAUUGGCUUGAUGCCAAUGCAGUGCCGCA